UGAGUAACACGUAUCCAACCUGUCGUCUACUCUUGGACAGCCUUCUGAAAGGAAGAUUAAUACAAGAUGGCAUCAUGAGUCCGCAUGUUCACAUGAUUAAAGGUAUUCCGGUAGACGAUGGGGAUGCGUUCCAUUAGAUAGUAGGCGGGGUAACGGCCCACCUAGUCAACGAUGGAUAGGGGUUCUGAGAGGAAGGUCCCCCACAUUGGAACUGAGACACGGUCCAA
rnacentral:rRNA from 1 species